rnacentral:rRNA from 1 species
GCUGAAAGCAUCUAAGUGGGAAGCCCACCUCAAGAUGAGUGCUCCCAUGGCAUAAGCCAGUAAGGUCACGGGAAGAACACCCGUUAAUAGGCUGUAGAUGGAAGCAUGGCAACAUGUGAAGUCGAGCAGUACUAACAGACCGAGGGCUUGACCU